rnacentral:rRNA from 1 species
GACAGAGGGGGCAAGCGUUGCUCGGAAUCACUGGGCGUAAAGAGCUUGUAGGCGGUUUGUCGCGUCUGCUGUGAAAUUUCGGGGCUCAACCCCGAACUUGCAGUGGGUACGGGCAGACUAGAGUGUGGUAGGGGAGACUGGAAUUCCUGGUGUAGCGGUGAAAUGCGCAGAUAUCAGGAGGAACACCGAUGGCGAAGGCGGCACUCUGGGCCGAUACUGACACUGAGGAGCGAAAGCGUGGGAGCGAACAGG